AUGACUGUGAAUGACGACGACGAGUCGUGAAGAUAGUGAAGAAUUUGUACGCGGCGGUACGCGGGCGUACAUAACCUCGGUCCUUAUGGCAUCGCGAAUGUAGAGUAUAGGAUAUUUAUUCAAGUAAAGGAGGAAUUAGGGUUCCGAUUAUACAAAUUACAAUAAACAAAUUAAAGUAAUUAAAUAGAUUUAAAAUGAGUGGACAGAAAUUUCAGUACGACGAAAGUGGCGGAACGUUUUUUUACUUCCUUCUAUCAUUCUUGGCUCUGCUACUGGUACCUGGGACAUACUAUUUGUGGCCACGUCGGCCGAAACAAGAUCCUGAACUUCUGUCGAGAGAAUGCCAAUGCGAUGGAUGUAAAAAGAAAAAGAUCAUCCUGCAAUCAAGCGAGCCUUGGAAAGAAACUAAAGCGUUACUCACGAAAUCCCUCAUCAUCCUUGGCUGGGUCAUUCUUUUAUUAUUGGCAUAUAAAGUUUCCCAGUUUGACUACGAGAUGGCAAACUUUGAUCCAUUUGAAAUUUUGGGAGUUCCAUCGGGGUCGUCACAAAGUGAAAUCAAAAAAGCUUACAGAAAAUUAUCACUGAUCCUCCAUCCAGACAAAGAAACUGGAAAUGAAAAGGCAUUUAUGAAAUUAACCAAAGCCUAUCAGGCCUUGACUGACGAUGAAGCGAGAAAAAAUUGGGAAAAAUAUGGAAAUCCGGAUGGACCCGGCGCUAUGAGUUUCGGAAUAGCUCUGCCGUCGUGGAUCGUAGAAAAAGAAAACUCGGUUUGGGUACUAGGGCUGUAUGCUCUUGUAUUUAUGGUCGCAUUACCAACUGUCGUUGGAAUGUGGUGGUACCGAAGUAUCCGAUAUUCUGGUGACCAGGUGCUGCUGGAUACCACACAACUGUAUUAUUUCUUCUUCCAUAAAACCCCUUCCAUGACAUUAAAACGGGUAAUUAUGAUUCUGGCUGCAUCUUAUGAAUUCUACAAAGGGCGUAACAACGAAAUUGUAGAAAGACCAGGUGACAAUGAAGAGGUUCCUGCUCUUAUAAAGCAGAUUAGUAAUCUAGGAGCUAAGAACAAAGAGAGACCCUUGUGCUACCUUUAUUCACUUAAAGCAAGAGCAUUACUUCAUGCUCAUUUAUCUCGGAUGCCAUUGAAUCCGGAAACAUUAGAGAAAGACCGUCAAUAUAUUGUUAAAAAGUGUCCUUACCUCAUACAAGAAAUGGUUACUUGCGUCAAUCAGUUGAUAUUAUUAGCGUAUGCCAGACGUAUUCAACGAUUACCGAGUAUUGAAACUAUUGAAAACUGCAUGAAGUUGUGCCCCAUGAUUGUACAAGGAUUUUGGGAAUUUAGAAAUCCUCUUCUUCAAUUGCCCCAUAUUACAGACGAUAAUCUUAAGUACUUCCUUGCAAAAAAGCGUCAAAUCAAAAGUCUCCAACAGUUUGCGCAGUUGAAGGGGGAAGAGAGGCGUCAGAUUCUUAGAGCUCUGACUGAUAGUCAAUAUGAAGAUAUCAUGAAAGUUCUUGGCAGUAUGCCGUAUAUUGAAUUCAAAGUUCGCUCAGAAGUCAUCGACGAUGAGAACCCAACUGUAUAUACAGCCGGAGCCAUAGUGACAGUCACCGUGUCUCUCACACGUAAGGAUAUGAAACACUUGUUUGGUGACAAUACUGUGAAGGAACAAACGAUAAUCGAUGAUAGCAAAUCUGGUGCUGCUGGAGAAGGAAAUGAAGAGCCUGUAGAAGAAGAGAAUCAAACUCUUAAGAAACCUGCAUGGGUGAGGCAAAGAAAGGGUCCUAAAAAGUCGAACAAAAAAGGUUCAAAUAAGAAAGCACCAUCACAGAAGGCGGUGCCCGUUCAAGCGCAAGCAACGGUAACUUCGGCUCAACAAAACAAUACGCCAAAUGCCAGGAGAAAGGAUGAAGCUAAAGCAGAAAAAGACCCAAAUAAGGAGGGCGUUUCAGAUGCUAGUGACACUGAAUUGGAUUCGGAAAGAAGUGAUGACGAAGAAAGUUCUCACGAUAAAAAGGACUCUGCGGUUGAUGAUGACGAUACUGAAUGGGAGAGAUUUCAGCAGAAAAUUUCAAAGCGUGAAAAGAUUCUAGAGGGCAGAAGCAAGCUCUCGCACGAAGUGCAUUGCCCUUUGUUCCCAGAAGCAAAGCAGGAAUAUUGGUGGGUUUACAUUUGUGAUCGUAAAAGUCAUACUCUGCUCACCGCACCUGUCCACGUGACAUCAUUGGCAACUUUUGAAGAGGUGCAGCUGCGGUUUACCGCACCUCGCUGGCCAGGUCUAUACACCUUCACUGUAUGCCUGCGCAGUGAUUCCUACAUUGGCUUUGAUCAAGCUCAAGACAUUAAACUGGACGUGAAAGAAGCACCAGAGAUACCAACAGAGCACCCACAAUGGGACAUAUCUGACGAAGAAACAGCGGAGGAUGUCGAUGCUGGUGAUGAACAUUCCGAAUUUACGACCGAUGAAGACAUCAGUGACAAUGAAUAAAGCUCAUGAUUUUCAUUACACUAGUAAAUUGAGAUUAUCCUCAUUUGUUCCACUGCCGUUUUAUUCAGCAUUGCGUAUGCUGCUAAAAUUCCACGCACUCAUGUUCCAAAACGAGUACGGGAUAAAGUGACUAAAAUGGAUGCCCCGGUUUACACAUUUGUCAAGACCGACAAGAAAGCAAACAUCAAGUGGGGUGUACGGCAUUAUCUGCCCCGUAAAAACUAAUAUUAAU
rnacentral:misc_RNA from 1 species